rnacentral:misc_RNA from 1 species
GGUUAAUUUGGAGAUAAUUGUAGAUUUGUCGGAGGAGAAUCUAGUUUGAACAGUAAAUUUCAUAAGAAUCUGAUUGUUACUUCCUAUUGCAUGAGGUAAACUGGGGAAACAGGAGAAGAAUAAACUUGUGGAAGUGGGGAAGCGAAUUCAAUCUCAGAAAAUUUUCUUUCAAAGACAUUUGUUGGGAUUUUUGGUCAUUGCAUUUGUCUAAUCUGACCAAAGCUGCACUAUAGAUGCAAGGUUUGAAAUUUCAACAAGAU